GGGUUGUCAUGCCAAUGGCACUGCCCGGUAGCUAAAUGCGGAAGAGAUAAGUGCUAAAAGCAUCUAAGCACGAAACUUGCCCCGAGAUGAGUUCUCCCUGAGACUAUAAGUCUCCUGAAGGAACGUUGAAGACGACGACGUUGAUAGGCCGGGUGUGUAAGCGCAGCGAUGCGUUGAGCUAACCGGUACUAAUGAACCGUGAGGCUUAACCUUACAACGCCGAAG
rnacentral:rRNA from 1 species